rnacentral:rRNA from 1 species
GACGAACGCUGGCGGCGUGCUUAACACAUGCAAGUCGAACGGAAAGGCCCUGCUUUUGUGGGGUGCUCGAGUGGCGAACGGGUGAGUAACACGUGAGUAACCUGCCCUUGACUUUGGGAUAACUUCUGGAAACUGGGGCUAAUACCGGAUAGGAGCUCCUGCUGCAUGGUGGGGGUUGGAAAGUUUCGGCGGUUGGGGAUGGACUCGCGGCUUAUCAGCUUGUUGGUGGGGUAGUGGCUUACCAAGGCUUUGACGGGUAGCCGGCCUGGGAGGGUGACCGGCCACAUUGGGACUGAGAUACGGCCCAGACUCCUACGGGAGGCAGCAGGGGGGAAUAUUGCACAAUGGGCGGAAGCCUGAUGCAGCAACGCCGCGUGCGGGAUGACGGCCUUCGGGUUGUAAACCGCUUUCGCCUGUGACGAAGCGUGAGUGACGGUAAUGGGUAAAGAAGCACCGGCUAACUACGUG